rnacentral:rRNA from 1 species
GAGGAAUAUUGCGCAAUGGGGGCAACCCUGACGCAGCAACGCCGCGUGAGUGAGGAAGGUUUUCGGACCGUAAAGCUCUGUCGAGCGGGAAGAAAUGCAUGGUGGCUAAUAUCCAUCAUGCUUGGCGGUACCGCUAAAGGAAGCACCGGCUAACUCCGUGCCAGCAGCCGCGGUAAUACGGGGGGUGCGAGCGUUGUUCGGAAUUAUUGGGCGUAAAGAGCGUGUAGGCGGCCGAAUAAGUCAGAUGUGAAAUCCCUGGGCUUAACCCAGGACGUGCAUUUGAAACUAUUCGGCUGGAGUAGGGGAGAGGAAAGUGGAAUUCCUGGUGUAGAGGUGAAAUUCGUAGAUAUCAGGAGGAACACCGGUGGCGAAGGCGACUUUCUGGCCCUAUACUGACGCUGAGACGCGAGAGCGUGGGUAGCAAACAG